rnacentral:rRNA from 1 species
AAAUUGAAGAGUUUGAUCAUGGCUCAGAUUGAACGCUGGCGGCAGGCCUAACACAUGCAAGUCGAACGGUAACAGAAAGCAGCUUGCUGCUUUGCUGACGAGUGGCGGACGGGUGAGUAAUGUCUGGGAAACUGCCUGAUGGAGGGGGAUAACUACUGGAAACGGUAGCUAAUACCGCAUAAUGUCGCAAGACCAAAGAGGGGGACCUUCGGGCCUCUUGCCAUCGGAUGUGCCCAGAUGGGAUUAGCUAGUAGGUGGGGUAACGGCUCACCUAGGCGACGAUCCCUAGCUGGUCUGAGAGGAUGACCAGCCACACUGGAACUGAGACACGGUCCAGACUCCUACGGGAGGCAGCAGUGGGGAAUAUUGCACAAUGGGCGCAAGCCUGAUGCAGCCAUGCCGCGUGUAUGAAGAAGGCCUUCGGGUUGUAAAGUACUUUCAGCGGGGAGGAAGGGAGUAAAGUUAAUACCUUUGC